CUCACCCACCCUUCAGGCGCGCUGUACGAGGGAGAGUUUGUCAACAAUCAGUUUCACGGCCAAGGAAAAUACACUUGGAAGAACAAUUCAUUUUACGAAGGACAGUUCAACGAAAAUAAAAUGGAAGGGACCGGUCAGUUUACGGACACUGAGGGACAGAUGUGGACAGGAACGUUCCGCUACAAGGCCGCCCCGGGACUCAGAUUUGAACUCAAGAUGAACUAACUCUACCGCUGUGUGUGUAUGAAAGGCUUGAUCACUCCUACUCAUUUAUUGUUUGAGGUUUAUAUAUUAAUAUAUAUGAAUAUUUCAUUAUCAUGUUAAAUGUUGUGUGAAUGUAUUGGAUUGGAAAAAUAGUUUACAGAAAAUAAACAAUAUACAUGUACGUGUACAUGCAUACUUUAAUCUGAGUUAUAAAUGCUAUCUAAUUAGACGAAUAUGUAACGGAAAUGAAGAAUUUUAUUAAAUUGAAGAAAAG
rnacentral:misc_RNA from 1 species